CAAGGAAUAGUUUAAGAAAAAUUUUAAUUUUGGGAGUUAAAGAUGGGUUAUUAUCUUUCCUUGA
rnacentral:tRNA from 1 species